rnacentral:rRNA from 1 species
UACAGAGGGUGCAAGCGUUAAUCGGAAUUACUGGGCGUAAAGCGCGCGUAGGUGGUUUGUUAAGUUGAAUGUGAAAUCCCCGGGCUCAACCUGGGAACUGCAUGCAAAACUGGCAAGCUAGAGUAUGGUAGAGGGUGGUGGAAUUUCCUGUGUAGCGGUGAAAUGCGUAGAUAUAGGAAGGAACACCAGUGGCGAAGGCGACCACCUGGACUGAUACUGACACUGAGGUGCGAAAGCGUGGGGGAGCAAACAGG